rnacentral:rRNA from 1 species
UACGAAGGGGGCUAGCGUUGUUCGGAAUUACUGGGCGUAAAGGGCGCGUAGGCGGUUUGUACAGUCAGGUGUGAAAUUCCCGGGCUCAACCUGGGGGCUGCACUUGAUACGUAUGGACUGGAGUGGGGAAGAGGGUCGUGGAAUUCCCAGUGUAGAGGUGAAAUUCGUAGAUAUUGGGAAGAACACCGGUGGCGAAGGCGGCGACCUGGUCCUUGACUGACGCUGAGGCGCGAAAGCGUGGGGAGCAAACAGG